rnacentral:rRNA from 1 species
AUUGGUGCCUUCGGGAACUCUGACACAGGUGCUGCGAUGGCUGUCGUCAGCUCGGUGUCGUGAGAUGUUCGGGUUAAGUCCCGUAACGAGCGCAACCCUUGUCCUUAGUUACCAGCACGUUAUGGUGGGCACUCUAAGGAGACUGCCGGUGACAAACCGGAGGAAGGUGGGGAUGACGUCAAGUCAUCAUGGCCCUUACGGCCUGGGCUACACACGUGCUACAAUGGUCGGUACAAAGGGUUGCCAAGCCGCGAGGUGGAGCUAAUCCCAUAAAACCGAUCGUAGUCCGGAUCGCAGUCUGCAACUCGACUGCGUGAAGUCGGAAUCGCUAGUAAUCGUGAAUCAGAAUGUCACGGUGAAUACGUUCCCGGGCCUU